GUGGGGAAUAUUCCGCAAUGGACGAAAGUCUGACGGAGCAACGCCGCGUGAGUGAAGAAGGCCUUCGGGUCGUAAAGCUCUGUCAUCAGGGACGAACGGCCGGUGGAGUGGAAAGCCACCGGAUUGACGGUACCUGAGAAGGAAGCCACGGCUAACUACGUGCCAGCAGCCGCGGUAAUACGUAGGUGGCAAGCGUUGUCCGGAAUUAUUGGGCGUAAAGCGCGCGCAGGUGGGAUCUUAAGUCCAUUUUUAAAGUUCGGAGCUCAACUCCGUGAUGGGAUGGAAACUGGGAUUCUUGAGUACCGGAGAGGAAAGCGGAAUUCCCCGUGUAGCGGUGAAAUGCGUAGAUAUGGGGAGGAACACCAGUGGCGAAGGCGACUUUCUGGACGGUGUCUGACACUGAAGCGCGAAAGCCAGGGGAGCGAACGGGAUUAGAAACCCCGGUAGUCC
rnacentral:rRNA from 1 species